UAAACAUCGAACAUAUCCAUAUUAAUUACAUUGUUUCAUCGUAUUGAUAUACAGUGGUCACACGAAUAUCCUUCUAAGACAAGUUAAUGAUGAAACCCAUGAUGAUAAAUACAUCAUUAGCACUUUUCAAAUGUAGAAUUGCAGAAAUGGGAUGGCCUCCGAACCCAAUACAUGCGGAAAUAGCAUGUGUAGACAUGACGAUCAUCAUUUUAAAAAAUUUCGUUUGUAUUUGCUUUGUUUGCGUUUUGUUUUUAAUCGGAUUGAAAUAACAAAUUAUGUCUAAAUGUAUACAUAGUAUAGCUAAGGAUGGAUGACCAUAUAUUAUUUGUUUCACUAUUUCAGCAAAGCAUAUGUCAGUUUGCCCCUACCAUUAAAGAGAGAAUAAGUGUCAAAGAACAACGAAAAAGACAGGCCCAGGUUCCUCAAAAAAUGUCAAAUCUUAAACUCAGUUUCAACUUUAUGUAGCUCAUUACACUAAAAUCUUAUUUAUUGGCUCGUUAAAACACCUCUUAUGAAGUAUGAUUUCAUCAUCGUAAGAGUGAUACAAGCUCUCAAUUAUUUUAUAUGGAUUUUUCGUGAUUUUCCCCGGAAUGAUAACAACAGGUGUAUGGCUUGCAAAUGAGAGAUUCUUAAGUCAAAAUUUCUCAGUGAUUUGGUGCAUGAUAUGAAUAUCUAAUAAAACAUGCCUAAAAAUUCCGAUAUAAACGUUCUAAUUAUUUAGAAAAAAACUAUUAAUGAAAAUUGAAAAUGUAAUUUGUUAAUAUUUUCUAAAUCUACGGAUAAAAUCUUCAAAAACAUGUCAGUUAGAAAAGAGAUAUAUCGAAGAAAUAUCUUAUAAAAGAAUUUGAAACCAAAUGACCAUAUUUUUUUAUAUAAUCACUCCGCUAUAUCCAAACUGGAGAAAAAAGUACCAAUCCCGAUCAAAAUUGAGAGAAAUUACUAAGAUAAUCAUAUUGUUGCCAAUUGUAUGCACUGUUAAUCAAUAAAUUAGUUUCCUUUAUAAAGUCAUUUAAUUUGUAAGUCAUUUUACAUCAAGAGAAUGUGGUUUUCUGAUUACAAUGUUCUCUAUGACUACUUUUUUAUAAUUCCGAUAGGGCUUGGUUCAAAAUAGAAAAAUCGCAAUAUUUCAGAAUUUUGACCAUUUCGCUUCAAUUUCUUUUUAAAAUACGUUGAUCUGAUUUUUUUUUCCAAUUGACAUAUUUUGUGACGAUUUUAUCCGUAGAUUUAAAAAAUAUUGGCAACUAGCGUUUUCAAUUUUCAUAAAUAUUUUUAUUUAAAAAACUAAAACGUCUAUCUGAGCCGUUUAUGCAUGUUUUUGGUUUGUUUUUUUGUUUUUGUUUUUUUAGAUAUUCAUAUUUUUAAAUUGAGGUAAGCUACUGACAAACAAGUUGAUGGUACAAGGAUUUCAACAGUCUCGAUUGAAGUCGGCAUUUCGCAAAUUCUAUGGUCGUUAUAACGAUCUAGUUCGUCAAUACAACCUCGCAUUGGGUCAAAUGCUGUCUGACGUGUUUCAUACCGAUUGUUAAGCCGUUCUUGGCACACUGAUUUUGACUGUGGAUAACUCCGUUUACCUGAUCAGGAUAUAGCGCUCACGGCGGGUGUGACCGGUCAACAGCGGAUGCUUACUCCUCCUAGGCACCUGAUCCCACCUCUGGUGUGUCCAGGGGUCCGUGUUUGCCCAACUAUCUAUUUUGUAUUGCUUGUAGGAGUUAUGAGAUUGAUCACUGUUCGUUAUCUUCACCUUGCAUUAUGCAUUAAAUCACUGCGAAAUUUGGACUCUUAUUAUCAGUAUCUUAUUUCAAAGCAAAGUACUUUUUUAUCAUUCCGGGAUGAAUCAUGAAAAAUUCAGAGAGCUUGUAUCACUUUUUGAUGGUGAAAUUAUACUUCAUAUGAGGUGUUUUAACGAGCCAUUAAAUAAAAAUUUAGUGCAAUGAGCCACCUUAAGUAUGAGUUUUAAUUACAGUUGAGAUUUUGCUCAAAACGAUAUUAGUUAAAUCUCAGCUGAGUUAAUCUUAUUGCUCAGCUGAGCUUAUUCCUUACGACACUAAGCGGCCCGUCUGUCAAAAAAACGUAACUUCCUUACAGCUGUAUAUUUUGUAAACAAAUUGUUUGCUUGUAUUCUGCUGGUAAAUAACGCGUAUAACGUUAAGAUGGUGCUGUCCGCCGACUUUCCCGGAAACCGAAUUGGACGGAAAGAAAACGUCUGAUACUGCUAGAGGCGGUCCGAUGCAGAGAAGACCGCCUUUUCGGUAAAAUGAAGGGGAGGGUGGGCGAAGAAAUCUCGUUUAAAGGAAUCAGCGUAGGAGGAAGUCACCCAGAUUGUGAUUGUUCCACAUGGUUGCUGCCCUGAGACUGUAUGGAACGAAACUCUGGGGAGAUGUACUGCCUGUGAACCUGGAUACAUAGGAGAGUUCUGCAAUGAGUCCUGCGAGUAUCCAUACCAUGGGUGGAAUUGUAAAGAGAUGUGUUCGUGCAAUCGCUCCAUGUGCCAUUAUUUGACGGGAUGCCAGUCCUUAGAAACUUCUACAUCCAGUAACAAAAAUGCUUCAGACAUGGAAUUACUGGUGAAUGAUUCUGUAUUGACGACAAGUUUAGAGGCGGUAACCAGCAACAAGGCGACAACUGUAGACCACAAUAUUUCUAGUCAAAAGAUGGAAAACAUUGGAAAAGAACCCGUGAUCAGAUUGGGUAUUGAACAUAAGUUAAUGAUAGUUUUUUCAUUACUACUGAUGUCUGUACUUAUUGCUUAUCUCAUUGUGACUUUUUACGAAUAUUCUAUGUCGUAUGAAACAUACGAACAUUCUCAUAUUGUGUAUUAUAGUGAGGGAAGUAUAGUUAAUUUUAGAUUAUGAAAUUAUUUCCAUUGAUGCAAUUCAAUUUUACAUGUAUUCAUUUAUUUUGGUAGUUUUUAUUAUUCUACAACAAUCUGUGAAAUUAUCAUUAAUGCUAGCUUUGUUAAGUUUAAAAGGAAACUACAGCUCAUUUUGCGCAAAAAAUCAAGAAAUGGGAAUUUUACCACAUUUUCCCAAUUGUUAGUACGAACUUGAAUGUACGAACUUCGCAAAUUUCAAAAUUGAAAAUGUUCUCUGUAUCACAAAACUUCAGACUUCUUUGUAAUCCACAAAAAUCCUUGUAAUUAUCCUCCUUUCGGUAUUCAGACGCAAGCACGCAAAAGGUAAACAAUACAGAAUGACGUUCAGUUACAGAAAGCGUACUGUUAAGGUAGACCCAGAAUUUUGACAGAUUCUGCCAGAGAAGCUGGUAAAACAAAGUGAGAUAAAACUCAGGUGCGGGCUAACAUUUACCUGGGGAUCAGUACGACAGUUAGAUAAAAAAGAGCUAGGCGAGACACCUACGGGACUAGGGACGAUACUGAUGUAUAAUUAGGUGUCAAAUCUUAACAAGUCUGAAUUAGUUUUAAACACAGUUUUGUCAAUAGAGACUUAAUGAGGUUACCCUCAAAAUUAUGAUUGAUGAUUAUCUAAUUAUAAGUAACAGCGACUAAUCCCAUAAUUGAAAAGGGGAGUAUUCAAACGGAGCUCUCUAACGGGAACUCAAAUACUUUUCUUUUAAAAAAUAACAACAUAUUUGCGAUCAUUCAACUUCACGUGAUGUAAAAUAUACAUUUAAAAGUCAGCAUGAAGAAACCUUUGAAUUGCUGAUUAUCUACAAAAUGUAGUUGAGAGCAAAUCAAUACAUUGCAAUUGUUUAAACUUUCAGUAUUGAUAUGAUUUCUAUGAUUUAUCGAUAAGUGUUCAAAGUGCACACAAUGAAGAUAUGGAAAACAAGAUGUGGUGUAUCUUUAAAUAAGUGAUCAUAAAGUGUGCAUUAUGCUAAAACUACAAAUCAUAUUACCCCUUGAUGCAAUGGGACUUUAAUCGAAUCGUUUUCAUGGUUGAACACUCUUCACUCGGAAAGAAAACGAAAAAGUUUUCAGAUGUGUCAAUAUCUAUUCUUGUAAUCUAUUUCCAAAGAAACGGGGUACAAAAGCGUUUUGUUUUACUUUUCAAAUCCUCAAUGAUUUCGUACAUGAUAUCAAAUAAUGAACAUUUAACUAAUAUAUAUCAAUGCAUGUGAAAUCAACAAUCACCCUUUAUGAAGUUUGUUAUAGUCUGCGGAACAUAGGAAUCGAAUCCACAAACCGUCAAGGUCAAAGGAUCUUCUGUGUCUCCAAUAGAGACGUCCGAACAAGCCAGAUUACAGACUACCAGUUUCACGUCGGGUUUUCGGAAGAAUUUUCUGUACCUCUUUAUUGCUUCAGACGGAUGAGGAUAUCCAAGGGAUAUAUUGGAAUCCGUGUAAAUUACAAUCACGUCGUAAUUUUGUUUCUUUUCCAUUGCGUACUUAAUUGGCAGAGAGCAAUUCGAUGUUGAUCCCGACCUCUGAUCUGUGAGAAGAUCAGCAAUUUUUCCAGAAACAAUCCCUAUACUAUCGGAGGGAAGGCAAUGCAACUCAUCGGUUAUUUUAUCAGAGAAAACGAUUGCGUCACAGUUUUCUGUUCUGACAGUUAGAGUUUACAUGAAGGCAGUCACGUCCAGUGGCUGGAGGGAGGGUGCACCUAUGACGUUCACUUUUUCUGUCAUUGAUUUACUGAUGUCAAUUGCCACUAAAAACCGCUUUCCAGUGGGUCUGAUAUUUUGAAAGGAGAAAUACAGACCUUCUUCAAGGCCAGCACAUAUCUGUGGAAAAACUGGCCACUGUAACGUUUUAGAUCCGUUCUCGCCUUUUUUAUAUUGAUUGAUCGCCAACAUAUAAGUAAAUGGGUGGAUUUUGUCCUUCGAAAUAAGUUCUUUGUUUUUCAAUUUCUCCAAGGCUAAGUGUUCUUCAAAAGAUCUCUCUCCAGAUGGAGCUUCUAGUUGGAAAAGCUCUAAUUUUGACAUCUUUCCCAGAUUGCGUAUCAGGGCUAUCAUUGGCAUGUGUCUAGCUAGAGCUAACCAUACAUUUCUGUCAUUCAAAAAGCAAGCUGGCACAUGUUCUCUUACUAAUCUAUGCUGCAAAAUAAGUCUGAUCAUCUGCGUAACAUCCUUUGUCGUCUUGGCAGUUUCAAUCGCAGUAAGGAGAUCGACGAUCUGUUUUAAAUGUGAAGUUUCGUAAUUAUCCUGUUGUUGUAGAUUCUGCAUGAAAUUGGUUGAAUCUGCGAAUUGUUUUCCUUUUACUGCAACGAUGACUAGAUAUUUUAAUGCUGGAUCUUCGUCAUUAACUUUGAGAUGUGAUAAACGAAUCACAUCUUUAUGCUUCCAUCCAUAUCUUUUGGAAUAUUUGGUUAUGUGAAGGGCCAAUAAUUUCAGUUUGUGUUCUGUUGCCCCAUAGCUACGAUACCAAUCGCAUAUUGCCUUUCGGUGAGCUCUGCCCCAGCCUUUACUCCUGGACUGAUGACUGCUUAUCAUUUUACAAAAGUUUAAAAAUCUGAAUAGUUGUGUAGGAAUUCUACAAAUGGAUGGGAGUGCACUGUAUGCAGCAUUUUUUGUUGCCUUAUCAUUAGAUCGGCAGCAAAUCGCCAAAAUAAAGAUCAGUGGGUCUUGUUUGAACGCGCGGGACGUUGUUGAGAAGCGAAUGAGUAUGUCGACCACUGUCUUUCCUGAUCCGUCCUGAAUUAAUCUGAAAAUUGAGAAUUUAAUGUUUGUAGACCCAGUGUUAAUUGCAUCUAGACAGCCAGCCAAAAAAGUGGAUGAAUUAUUUAUUUUUAAGAUUACAAUGUAGAAAUACAAAAUAGCAUAACAAAACUAUAGCUCACAUCCUUAAAAACUUGUGUUCUGCGCUAGUGUUGCUAAACGUCUCGAGAAGAAUAAUGAAAUUUGAAAGGUUAAAAUUUUGAAGAAAUUGAUAUAUACAUUAAAGAAUGUUUACAUAGUGUACUAGCAAAACCAAAUCACUUUAAUUGUAAUUUGAUCAUAAUUUGUAUAUGGUAUAUGUAUAUCUUGCAUGACACAGGGUGCUCAUUUAUAUAAUUUAGACAAGUUAAAAACAUGUACAGAAUAUUAUAAUACAUUGAAUAAAAUCUGAAUAUUUGAA